GUCUACGGCCAUACCACCCUGAACGCGCGCGAUCUCGUCUGAUCUUGGAAGCUAAGCAGGGUCGGGCCCGGUUAGUACUUGGAUGGGAGAAAUAAACCCAGGCUUUUACAAUCA
rnacentral:rRNA from 1 species